rnacentral:lncRNA from 1 species
AGUGAUCCAGUGCAUUCGAGCUCAUGUAAGCUUCGAGAUAAAACAUGUAUUUAAACCCGUAUUCUUACCCAAGAAACUCUAAUUUUUUCUCCUCUCUAGUACCGCUGGCGGACAUUGAAAGCUUUUAAUUUGCUUUUUUUUUCUUGCAUUUUGUUUCUGGUUGUUUUGCAAGUGAAUACAUACACACAUCUCACACCCAUUCCCACGAAAAACUUCU